UACGUAGGGUGCAAGCGUUAAUCGGAAUUACUGGGCGUAAAGCGUGCGCAGGCGGUUUUGUAAGUCUGUCGUGAAAUCCCCCGGGCUCAACCUGGAGAUGCCACUCGAGACUGCUAUGGCUAGAGUCCGGUAGGGGACCACGGAAUUCCUGGUGUAGCGGUGAAAUGCGCAGAUAUCAGGAGGAACACCGGUGGCGAAGGCGGUGGUCUGGGCCGGCACUGACGCUGAGGAGCGAAAGCGUGGGGAGCAAACAGG
rnacentral:rRNA from 1 species